AUUGAACGCUGGCGGCAGGCCUAACACAUGCAAGUCGAGCGGAUGAAGGGAGCUUGCUCCUGGAUUCAGCGGCGGACGGGUGAGUAAUGCCUAGGAAUCUGCCUGGUAGUGGGGGAUAACGUCCGGAAACGGGCGCUAAUACCGCAUACGUCCUGAGGGAGAAAGUGGGGGAUCUUCGGACCUCACGCUAUCAGAUGAGCCUAGGUCGGAUUAGCUAGUUGGUGGGGUAAAGGCCUACCAAGGCGACGAUCCGUAACUGGCCUGAGAGGAUGAUCAGUCACACUGGAACUGAGACACGGUCCAGACUCCUACGGGAGGCAGCAGUGGGGAAUAUUGGACAAUAGGCGAAAGCCUGAUCCAGCCAUGCCGCGUGUGUGAAGAAGGUCUUCGGAUUGUAAAGCACUUUAAGUUGGGAGGAAGGGCAGUAAGUUAAUACCUUGCUGUUUUGACGUUACCAACAGAAUAAGCACCGGCUAACUUCGUG
rnacentral:rRNA from 1 species